rnacentral:lncRNA from 1 species
GCCUACUUGAAUGCCUAAUUCCCUUCUUAGACCUACAGCUGAGAAGGGAAACCAGGAAAUGAUGAACACAGAAUUUUGGAUGAUGACCAUCUUGCAGAGUAGAGCCAAGAGGGAUGUGCUGACGCAGGAACCAUGCAAUUAGGUAUAAGUUAU